rnacentral:rRNA from 1 species
GCGACGGUGGCCCGUGUCUAUACAUGCAAGUCGAGCGGACAGAUGGGAGCUUGCUCCCUGAUGUUAGCGGCGGACGGGUGAGUAACACGUGGGUAACCUGCCUGUAAGACUGGGAUAACUCCGGGAAACCGGGGCUAAUACCGGAUGGUUGUCUGAACCGCAUGGUUCAGACAUAAAAGGUGGCUUCGGCUACCACUUACAGAUGGACCCGCGGCGCAUUAGCUAGUUGGUGAGGUAACGGCUCACCAAGGCGACGAUGCGUAGCCGACCUGAGAGGGUGAUCGGCCACACUGGGACUGAGACACGGCCCAGACUCCUACGGGAGGCAGCAGUAGGGAAUCUUCCGCAAUGGACGAAAGUCUGACGGAGCAACGCCGCGUGAGUGAUGAAGGUUUUCGGAUCGUAAAGCUCUGUUGUUAGGGAAGAACAAGUGCCGUUCAAAUAGGGCGGCACCUUGACGGUACCUAACCAGAAAGCCACGGCUAACUACGUGCCAGCAGCCGCGGUAAUACGUAGGUGGCAAGCGUUGUCCGGAAUUAUUGGGCGUAAAGGGCUCGCAGGCGGUUUCUUAAGUCUGAUGUGAAAGCCCCCGGCUCAACCGGGGAGGGUCAUUGGAAACUGGGGAACUUGAGUGCAGAAGAGGAGAGUGGAAUUCCACGUGUAGCGGUGAAAUGCGUAGAGAUGUGGAGGAACACCAGUGGCGAAGGCGACUCUCUGGUCUGUAACUGACGCUGAGGAGCGAAAGCGUGGGGAGCGAACAGGAUUAGAUACCCUGGUAGUCCACGCCGUAAACGAUGAGU